AAGUUAGAAUUUUUCAGGGAAAGUCAGGGAAUAUACUUACAAUCCUGGAAAAUUCAUGUAAAUUCCCUAGUGGUAGUUGUUGUACAUCUGCCUUGCUCGUGAUGGUUGGCAUCACUGAUAACAGGUGAAUGUCAGUUCCGGUUAUGGCGCCUGUAUAUGUACCACGGUGAACGGACAAUAAAGAAUAUUAAGUGCUAACUACAUGUACUUGCUUAUCUACAACUUAAAACCUAUGUUCUCAAGUAAAACAUGGCGCAGUCGUGUGGAAUUGUGUUCAUAUUUCAGUUCGUCCAUGUUCGUUGGAUUUAUGUGCUAUAGGUGAUAUAACCUGUAGGUGUGCGUUUGUUUGUCGACACGUGUUUUUCGGACGUCGGUGGUAAAUAGUGAAUAUCGAACAAUGUUGUUGACAGACUGAAUCGUAUAGUUUUUUUUCUGUUUGUGCCAUGGCAGGCCUCAAUCUUGUAAAGCUCCCCGACUCUGUUGACUUGGAGAGUCCCACGGCCCGAAAAGACUGGGAAGUGUUUGAAGGAGAUUUUGAAAAUUAUUUAAUCGCAAUGGGCCAGGAUGAGGGCCCAGAUAAGGUUAAGAUCGCCCUACUCAAAAACAUGUUAGGCUCCCAAGGACGAGCCCUUUUCGAAACUUUCGACAUCCCACCGGAGGACAAGCUAGUGUAUUCUAAAGUAAAGGAAGCGUAUCGCGUGUUCGUGGCACCAAAAACAAAUCCUUUGUAUGAACUGUUUGUUUUUAACCAGCGUUUGCAACUUGAGGGUGAGACUUUUGAUCAUUUCUUGACUGAUUGCCGCCGCCUGAUUAAAACAUGUGGCUAUGAGCGCCCAGUUUCGCAGGAAGAGAAUAUGCUGGUUGACCGCAUCGUCCAGGGCAUCAGAGAUUCGUCCGUUCGGGAGUCUCUGCUGAGGUUAGACAAUGCUACUCUUACUAAAGUUGCUGCACACUGCCGUCUGAUGGAACAAAGUCAACAACAAGCAAAGGAGAUUCAAGCUCGGAGUUCUACUCACGAUAGUGUAAGUUGUGACUUUGUGUCCACUAAGGAUAGGAAGUCGUCACGCCCAAGACAAAACAGCAAGUUUGGUGAUAACGGUGAGUACAACUGCUCAAGGUGCCAGACACAGCACAAGGCCAGACAAUGCCCAGCAUAUGGAAAAAAAUGUGCCAAAUGUGGCAUUAUGAAUCACUUUGCUGCCUCGUGCAGAGUUCGGAAAGUUCGGGAGGUAAAAGCAAAGCAUUCUUCUAGUGAGAGUCUAUACUGUGAUGCGGUGACAGUCAAUUCUGUGUAUCCUAGAGGGACUAGAACAACCCACAUCAAUGAGUGGAGGGAGCGUAUACUGAUUGAGGACAAAGCAGUGAACAUAAAAUUGGAUCCCGGUUCUGAAAUAAAUAUUUUGCCACUCAGUUUGUUCAGGACGGUUGACAAACAGUUCAAGGUCAGGCCAACAUCCCUAAAAAUUGAGGUUUGGGGUGGGACCAUUCUUGCAGCAAAAGGAGUAGUUAAUUUGUGUUGUUCUGUCAAAGGCCAAGAGUCUUAUGUUGAAUUUGUUAUAGUUGACUCUGACAGCACUCCUUUGUUAGGGCUACAGUCUUGUGUUGACUUCAAUCUUGUGAAAAGGGUUCACUCAGCUUGCCACGAGGCAAAGGACAGAUUCAUUAAAGAACACAAUGAAGUAUUCACUGGUUUUGGCUGUUUCCCCCAAGUAUGUAGAAUUAACAUUCGCGACCAUAGCAACCCUGUUUGUAAGCCUCCAAGAAGGGUCCCUAGAGCAAUCAGACCUGCGUUAAAACAAGAACUGGACAGACUCGAACAGAAAGGCAUUAUAUGUAAAGUUGACAAGCUCAGUGCUAGCGCUUGGGUGAGCAACCUAGUUGUUGUGGAAAAGUCAAGUGGGAAGUUGAGAUUAUGUCUUGAUCCGACUGACCUCAAUAAGGUGGUGAUUCGAGACUACCAUGAAAUACCGACAUUGGAAGAAAUGUCCGAGAAGCUCACAGGAAAAAAUUUUUAUUCAGUGUUUGAUCUUAAGGAAGGGUUCCACCAAGUGCAACUAGAUGAAGACUCGUCUCACAAGUGCUGCUUCUCGACACCAUUUGGGUGCUAUCGCUAUCUACGCAUGCCAUACGGCAUUGCCAAUGCCCCAGAAAAUUUCCAGAAGUUUAUCGAAGAGAACUUUGCCUCUAUUCCUGGAGUGGUGACGUUCUUCGAUGACAUCCUCUGCACAGGCGAAACAGAAGGUGACCAUGAUACGUGUGCUCAGCAAGUGGUUGAGCGUGCAGCCAGCCUUGGCAUCAAGUUCAACCCAGAUAAGCUUCAAUAUAAGGUUUCCGAAGUAAGGUAUGUGGGCCAGAUCUUCUCCGCCGCAGGCAAGUCACCUGAUCCUGAGCGAAUCCGAGCUCUGACUAGUCUACAGGCUCCCAGCAAUCGCAAAGAACUUCAACGUACUUUGGGGAUGUUCAAUUUUGUUCGCUGUUAUAUUCCAGGUAUGUCUAGUGUGUGUUCCCCAUUGUAUGAACUUCUUAAAGCGGAUGUAGACUGGUUGUGGCUCCCGUGUCAUGAAGAGGCUUUUUGUAAACUCAAGUCGCUCAUCACUAGUGCCCCUGUUCUGGCAACUUUUGAUCCCACAAACCAACUUGUUAUACAGUGUGAUGCAUCACAGAGUGGGCUUGGUGCUACUUUGUUUCAGGAGGGCCCAAAGGGUCUCCACCCUGUGCACAUUGCCUCCAGGUCCCUUACAGCAGCAGAAAAGAGCUACUCCCAGAUUGAGAAGGAGCUCUUAGCAGUUUCUUUUGCCUCAGCUAAAUUUCACUACUAUAUUUAUGGUAAGCAGGUCCUAGUGCAAUCUGAUCAUAAGCCACUUGUGAAUGUUAUGGUCAAACCAGUUCAUCAUAUAGGCUCAGCAUGCCUUCAGAGGUUACGUCUUAAACUGUUGAAGUAUGACCUAAACGUUACUUACCUACCUGGUAAACUCAUGUAUUUCGCAGACCACCUGUCGCGGUCAUAUCUUACAGACAAGGUAUUCGACGAUCCUGCAAUGGUUGAGGUAGUACAUUCCGUCAGUAAGCACUUGCCUAUGUCAAACAAACGCUUGCUUCAGUUCCAGUUGGAAACAACUAAGGACGCGGCUCUCUGUCAAGUGUCCCAAUUUUGUCAGUCAGAUUGGCCCCCCUACAGUAGAGUUCCUCAAGUAUGCAAACCUUAUUACAAAAUGCGGGAUGACUUGUGUGCUGAAAGUGGUUUAGUCUUCCUCGGUGAUAAGGUUGUUGUUCCUGAGGCUCUAAGACCAUAUGUUCUACAGCUGCUUCUUGAAGGCCACUGUGGAGAAUCGAAGACCAAGUCCAAGGGCCGUCAGUUGUUUUACUGGCCAUCUAUGUCAGUUGAUAUUGUGCAGUUCAUUCAAAAAUGCUCUGUGUGUGAGAAGUUUCGCCCAGCCAACUACAGACAGCCCCUCUGCCCACAUCCCAUUCCAAAGCUGCCAUAUGACACAGUAGGUGCAGACAUUUUUGACUUCGCUGGGAAAGAUUAUUUGGUUCUUGUGGACAAAUAUUCCAAAUGGAUAGAUGUGUGUGAACUUCCCAAAAAGACUUCCUCUGCCGUCAUCAGUGCCAUGCAACAAGUAUUCAGCACUCAUGGCCUCCCACGAGUGCUGAUGGCUGAUAACAUGCCAUUCAAUUCUCAUGAAUGCCGUCAGUAUUAUGCCCUGAGUGAAAUUGAGCUACGAACUAGUAGUCCUCAUUAUCCACGCAGUAAUGGGUUGGCAGAAAUGGCAGUAAAGAUUAGCAAAAUGCUGCUACGCAAAAGUCAGGGCACUGAUUUCAGAAACUUACUUUGUGAAUAUAGAAACACCCCUCUUCCUGGCUUAGACUGGUCCCCCUCUCAGUUACUAUUUAAUAGGAGACUUCGGAGUAAACUGCCUGUCUCAUAUAACACCCUCAGACCUAGGGUCAUCUCCCCAGAACACAUGGUGAGAGCAUUAAUGUCAAAGGAGAAGCAGAUGAAAGACGUAUACAACAAAACGGCCAGGCGACAGGAGAUAACAUUCGUUAAGGGGGAAACUGUGGUUGUCAAAACCCACAAACAUGACAAGUGGGAGCCGGGAGUCAUUGUGGGCAAACACUCAUCACCUCGCUCCUAUUGGGUGCGAGGAUCAGGUGAUAGGAUAGUGCGUCGCAAUGUGAUCCAUCUGAGAAAAACCACUACCUCGCAGAAGCCCCACCAGUCAGCUCCACGCCUGCUCGAGGUUCCCAACACCAAGACUGAUGGCGAGGAGGGUAACCGCCUGAAGCAGACUCCACGCACCUGAUCAUUGGAGCCUGACUUCCGGGGGUUUGAGCCUCAAACUUCGACGAAUGCAGUGACUGAUGUGUCUACUGUGCAGGGUGAUGAAUCUCAGGAAGCAGCAGACAGCAGUGGCCAUACCUGGGCUACCAAAAGUGGAAGGGAGGUGAAGCCUGUGAAGCGCUUAAAUUUGUAAUGUUGUCUGCUUGUCAAUUAGUGUGUUGUAAGUGAGUUGUGAAUUGCACAUGUGUGUUUCAUGCAGUAUACUUGUUUUCUGAAUUAUAGUGUGUACUGUUAAUAAGCAAUUGCACAACUUUGUAUGUAAGUUUGGUCUCAACAAGUAAACCUUAGAACCCUAGCAAGUGGUCACAUGUCUCGCAGUAUAAAGGGGAAGGUGUUGUACAUCUGCCUUGCUCGUGAUGGUUGGCAUCACUGAUAACAGGUGAAUGUCAGUUCCGGUUAUGGCGCCUGUAUAUGUACCACGGUGAACGGACAAUAAAGAAUAUUAAGUGCUAACUACAUGUACUUGCUUAUCUACAACUUAAAACCUAUGUUCUCAAGUAAAACAGUAGUAACUCGAGGGAACAAUUUCAUACUCGUCUGCCAUCACCCAGACUGUGAAAUAAUUUUUCAGAUAGUGUUAUAAUCAGUAGGUUAGGUUCUGCAUGAAAUUUUUAUUUAUGUAAUAUAAUUAUAGGCUAGGUAUGGAAUGAUAGAAGCUGAAUAUUUUUAAUGUCUUUCAGAAAAUUGCAAUAUAGGUACUGGGUGAUAAGCAUGGGAAUGCCAUAUACCUGAAUGAAAGAGAGUGCAGCAUCCAA